CAGUAGCCACGGUAAUACGUAGGGUCCGAGCGUUGUCCGGAAUUACUGGGCGUAAAGAGCUCGUAGGUGGUUUGUCGCGUUGUUCGUGAAAACUCACAACUCAAUUGUGGGCGUGCGGGCGAUACGGGCAGACUGGAGUACUGCAGGGGAGACUGGAAUUCCUGGUGUAGCGGUGGAGUGCGCAGAUAUCAGGAGGAACACCGGUGGCGAAGGCGGGUCUCUGGGCAGUAACUGACGCUGAGGAGCGAAAGCGUGGGGAGCGAACAGGAUUAGAUACCCCCGUAGUCCCUGUCUCUUAUAC
rnacentral:rRNA from 1 species